rnacentral:rRNA from 1 species
CGUGCGGGAUGAAGGCCUUCGGGUUGUAAACCCCUUUCAACCGGGACGAAACCGCUGGGACCAACACCCGAAGCGGUUGACAACUCCGGCCGAAUAACCACCGGAAUACUACGUGUGCGAAGCUUCUUUAAUAUUUUUGGUGCUAGAGGGAGUCUAAGUUGCUGGGCGUGAAGCGUGCGCAAGCUGUGGGUUCAACUGGUGGUGAAAUCGCCAGGCUGCACCGGUGAACUGCGAUAGAAGCUGGUGUAAUUCACUGUGUAACAGGGAGGUGGAAUUCUAUGUGUAGGAACACAUUGCGUAAAUAUGCGGAGGAACACCACUGCUGAAGGUAACCCCCUGGACUAACACUGACGCUCAGGAUCAAAUACCCGGGGAGAAAACAGGAUUAGAUACCCUGG